AAAAUAACAUGAAACCUACAGUUCACGACACAUCGCAUAGGAAUUUAAAAUAAAUAUUAGGCCUAUAGGUUUAAUACAUAUUGCUUAGAAUAUAGAAAUUUAGAUCUAGUGUUCUGGUUAGUAGUUAUUUCAUGUUUAUUAGAAUAUAGUUUAGAAUCUAAUCAUACGGCUGCAUAAAAAGAAAGUUUGAAGGAAAUAGAAUAGGAAUCUAGAGAAGCGGAGUGUUUUCCGCACUCGAGAGGAAAGAGGUUGCAGGGAACUUAGAGACUAAUCUUUGCCAGCAUACUGGAUUUCUGGUGAUGACAAUAGCAGCAGAUAGUAUGCGGCUCAGUUAAUACUAAAAACAAUUGAUUUUAGUAAUUAGUGGACUAUGAGUGUGUGUUUGGCCAUCCAGAUUUCAUAACUACAACUGAUGUUCAAUUACAAGGGAUAUUAAUCAGUCUCCGUGGACUAUACACUGUGCCUAGUUUCAUCCUCAGAGACUGAUGUGUAAGCUUAAAGUAAAGACAUCAAAUCAAAGUAUCAGCCAUCAAGAGGAAAAACAUUCAAAAUCAUAUUGUGAUACACAAGUCAAGCAAGUCUGACCAGCAUUUUGAUACAGGCCAAGAAAAAGCUGGAUACUUGAUUGGAAGGGUCGCACAAAAAACAUGGGUUAUCACUAGGGAAACAAGCUCGCAAUACAGUUCACUGUUAGGACAGCAAGCCAAAUACUUCUAAACUUAUUUGAAUCAUUUUUGCUGUUUAUUAUAAUUCAUCCAAUUGUCUUAUUAAAUAUAUACAUUUAUAUAUAUACACAAUUCCUAAUAUAGAAUUUCUAAAAAUGUUUUAUUAUAAUAUUUAAAAUGAAACAAACAUGUUCCCAGAACACAGCCACAUAAUGUCAACAUGUUCCCAGAACACAGCCACAUAAUGUCAACAUGUUCCCAGAACAUAGCCACAUAAUGUCA